rnacentral:rRNA from 1 species
UACGUAGGGUGCGAGCGUUAAUCGGAAUUACUGGGCGUAAAGCGUGCGCAGGCGGUGAUGUAAGACAGAUGUGAAAUCCCCGGGCUCAACCUGGGAACUGCAUUUGUGACUGCAUCGCUGGAGUGCGGCAGAGGGGGAUGGAAUUCCGCGUGUAGCAGUGAAAUGCGUAGAUAUGCGGAGGAACACCGAUGGCGAAGGCAAUCCCCUGGGCCUGCACUGACGCUCAUGCACGAAAGCGUGGGGAGCAACAGG